GGCCUCUCUCUGUCUUGGGGCUGUGGAGAGUCUAGUUUCUCCUUAAUCAAGGAUGGAGGCCAACAUCAGCCCCUGAGGACCAUUAUCAGGACUGCCAUGAGCAGGCAGCCUUGUUUUCCUGCCUCAGACAUUU
ensembl:snoRNA